UACGGAGGAUCCAAGCGUUAUCCGGAUUUAUUGGGUUUAAAGGGUGCGUAGGCGGCGAAUUAAGUCAGAGGUGAAAGCCUGCAGCUCAACUGUAGAACUGCCUUUGAUACUGGUUCGCUUGAGUACAGAUGAAGUGGGCGGAAUGUGACAAGUAGCGGUGAAAUGCAUAGAUAUGUCACAGAACACCGAUUGCGAAGGCAGCUCACUAAAGUGUAACUGACGCUGAGGCACGAAAGCGUGGGGAUCAAACAGG
rnacentral:rRNA from 1 species